ensembl:snoRNA
AAGACAGCCAAUUAAUCUGCUUAUCUGAAUGUAUUUCUGUAGAAAUUUAGAAAAAGCUGGCAAUACUGAUGUCAUUUCAUGAGCCUUAAGGGCAACUGAGAUCAUUACUGUCCCUAAAAAUGGCUACAAUA